AACGAACGCUGGCGGCGCGCCUAAUACAUGCAAGUCGAGCGAGAAGACGUAGCAAUACGUUUGUAAAGCGGCGAACGGGUGAGGAAUACAUGGGUAACCUACCCUCGAGUGGGGAAUAACUAGCCGAAAGGUUAGCUAAUACCGCGUACGCUCCUUGGACUUCGGUUCAGGGAGGAAAGCGAUACCGUGGGUAUCGCGCUCUUGGAUGGGCUCAUGUCCUAUCAGCUUGUUGGGAGGUAACGGCUCACCAAGGCUUCGACGGGUAGCUGGUCUGAGAGGACGAUCAGCCACACUGGCACUGCGACACGGGCCAGACUCCUACGGGAGGCAGCAGUAAGGAAUAUUGCGCAAUGGGCGAAAGCCUGACGCAGCGACGUCGC
rnacentral:rRNA from 1 species